rnacentral:lncRNA from 1 species
CAGAAGUUGAGGUAAUGAAUAUGUUCAUACAUGAAAGGAAUAACUUCCUUCUAGAGAAAACUGAUUGACUGAGAUAUUAUGUUAUAAUGUUAUGCACUUACCUUUACAGGGCAGCCUUAGACCACAUUGCGGAAACAAACAAAAAAGGCAGAGCAGUUUUCCGGUUCUUUUGAGAAAUUAUUUUUAUUGACGAUCUGUCUGCGCAGUUGUCUGCCCACCACUGGGACUCAUGGGUGCAUGAGUCCAGCUGCAUAGAUCAGACUGCAGGAUCAGGGCCUUUGUCUGAGAGAAGUACAGUUAAUCUUCCCUCAAAAUGGGGACUUGUUUACCACAAAGACUCUAGCUCAAACCAGUCAGAACCGGUUUUUCCCGCUAAGUCCAACCCUCAGUGUUCCAUCACUUCAGAAGCGUUCCAUCACCUCAGAGCUCUUCCCGCCAAAAAGGCUUUAUAAGGACUUGUUCAGCGCCUGCGCGGGGCUGUCCAUUCCAGCGACAGCUCGUACACGGUCGGGUCUUCUCAGAGCUCCAGAGCUGAGAUCGAAGAACAACAUCUAUCCCGCAGCGUGUUUGAGGAAGAGGAAUCCUGUCAUCGUCAUUCCUGUAUCCUGCAUUUCCUGGUGUCCAUCAUCCCAGAGGGUCUCCUUGCCAGCGACGAGAACCAUCAGUCGUCUGGACUCCCCAGUGUUCCUCCUCAAGGACUCUAAAUCAGUCCAAGAGUUGUAGGUCCUGGGCAACACACCUGUAUGUGACAUCUGCUGCAUCAGAGCAACAGGAGAAAGGUUUCUGUGUUGGGGUAUUGUUUAUUGUUUUGUAGAAUCCCACGGGAGGGUUUAUGGGCCUGAGCUCCAAGCUCUUAGGCCUGGUCUACACUACGAGUUUAGGUCGACUUUAGCAGCAUUAAAUCGAAUUAAGCCUGGACAUGUCCACACGACGAAGCCCUUUCUUUUGACUUAAAUGGCCCUUUAAACCGGUUUCUUUACUCCACCUCCGACGAGGGGAUUAGCGCUAAAAUCGGCCUUUGCGGGUCGGAUUUGGGGUAGUGUGGACGGAAUUCGACAUUAUUGGCCUCCGGG